rnacentral:rRNA from 1 species
UAGUGAGUUUGAUCCUGGCUCAGGGUGAACGCUGGCGGCGUGCCUAAUACAUGCAAGUCGAGCGCAGGAAGCUCACGGAACUCUUCGGAGGGAAGUGAAGGGAAUGAGCGGCGGACGGGUGAGUAACACGUAAGGAACCUGCCCCAAGGAUUGGGAUAACUCCGAGAAAUUUGAGCUAAUACCGAAUAGUUCUUCAGACCGCAUGGUCUGAUGAUGAAAGGCGCUUCGGCGUCACCUUGGGAUGGCCUUGCGGUGCAUUAGCUAGGUUGGUGGGGUAACUGGCCCACCAAGGCGACGAUGCAUAGCCGA